UACGUAGGGGGCAAGCGUUGUCCGGAUUUAUUGGGCGUAAAGAGCGUGUAGGCGGCCAGGUAGGUCUGCUGUGAAAACUCGAGGCUUAACCUCGAGCUGUCGGCGGAAACCAUCUGGCUAGAGUCCGGAAGAGGAGAAUGGAAUUCCCGGUGUAGCGGUGAAAUGCGCAGAUAUCGGGAGGAACAUCUGUGGCGAAGGCGGCCAUCUGGACCAGCACUGACACUGAGGCACGAAAGCGUGGGGAGCAAACAGG
rnacentral:rRNA from 1 species